UAUGAACGCUGGCGGCGUGCCUAAUACAUGCAAGUCGAGCGAACGGACGAGAAGCUUGCUUCUCUGAUGUUAGCGGCGGACGGGUGAGUAACACGUGGAUAACCUACCUAUAAGACUGGGAUAACUUCGGGAAACCGGAGCUAAUACCGGAUAAUAUUUUGAACCGCAUGGUUCAAAAGUGAAAGACGGUCUUGCUGUCACUUAUAGAUGGAUCCGCGCUGCAUUAGCUAGUUGGUAAGGUAACGGCUUACCAAGGCAACGAUGCAUAGCCGACCUGAGAGGGUGAUCGGCCACACUGGAACUGAGACACGGUCCAGACUCCUACGGGAGGCAGCAGUAGGGAAUCUUCCGCAAUGGGCGAAAGCCUGACGGAGCAACGCCGCGUGAGUGAUGAAGGUCUUCGGAUCGUAAAACUCUGUUAUUAGGGAAGAACAUAUGUGUAAGUAACUGUGCACAUCUUGACGGUACCUAAUCAGAAAGCCACGGCUAACUACGUG
rnacentral:rRNA from 1 species